rnacentral:sRNA from 1 species
CUGACACCCCUGGAGUCUGAAACCAUCUAUUUAUCCACUGAACAGGUGCAAGGGCAGUGCAAGUUUCCUCCAAAGUGCCUGAACACUGAUCCAGAGGGAUCACGUCUAGCAGUGACAAAGUCAAUUUACAGAGUGGUAGCCGUGUUAGUCUGUAUCAGCA